rnacentral:lncRNA from 1 species
ACCCUGCCGCAGGGCUGGCUGGGGAGGGCAGCGGUUUAGAUUAGCCGUGGCCUAGGCCGUUUGACGGGGUGACACGAGCCUGCAGGGCCGAGUCCAAGGCCCGGAGAUAGGACCAACCGUCAGGAAUGCGAGGAAUGUUUUUCUUCGGACUCUAUCGAGGCACACAGACAGACCAUGGGGAUUCUGUCUACAGUGACAGCCUUAACAUUUGCCAGAGCCCUGGACGGCUGCAGAAAUGGCAUUGCCCACCCUGCAAGUGAGAAGGUCCCACCCUCAUCACUGUCCGACUUACCCCGGGCUGGCAUCAGGGAGUGUUGUCAGGCGUUUAUGCCGUUAUGAAUGGCUUUAUGAUACCUCGAGAGGGGGACCAGGGCCACCGGCUUCAUGGUGGCUAUUUUCUGAAGGUGGCAGGAGAAGAUAAAACCAAAAUUCAGGGUUUGCUUUUUAAAUACCAUGCUAGUAAAAUCAGAACAGUAAUGACGGGAACCAAAAGAUCUAUCUGAAAUGUUCCUAAGGACAGACUCGAGAAAUGUAGGGAACUCGAGAGCAGCCACUCGGCCCCAGGAUCAACCCAGCACCGAAGAAAAACAACCAGAAGAAAUUAUUCUUCAGCCUGAAAUGAAGCCGGGAUCAAAUGGUUGCUGAUCAGAGCCCAUAUUUAAAUUGGAAAAGUCAAAUUGAGCAUUAUU